UCGGCAAUGGACGCAAGUCUGACCGAGCGACGCCGCGUGCGGGAUGAAGGCCUUCGGGUUGUAAACCGCUGUCAGAGGGGAUGAAGUGUACGGGAGUUAUCUCCUGUAUUUGACAGAGCCUCAGAGGAAGCACGGGCUAAGUUCGUGCCAGCAGCCGCGGUAAUACGAACUGUGCGAACGUUAUUCGGAAUCACUGGGCUUAAAGGGUGCGUAGGCGGCUGCCUAAGUCAGGUGUGAAAUCUCUCGGCUCAACCGGGAAACUGCGCUUGAUACUGGGCGGCUAGAGUGAGGUAGGGGUGUGUGGAACUUCCGGUGGAGCGGUGAAAUGUGUAGAUAUCGGAAGGAACGCCAGCAGCGAAAGCGGCACACUGGGCCUUUUCUGACGCUGAGGCACGAAAGCUAGGGGAGCGAACGGGAUUAGAUACCCCGGUAGUCCUAGCCGUAAACACUGAACACUCGAGGAGGGGGGCUUCGGCCUUCUUCCUCUUAGCGAAAGCGUUAAGUGUUCCGCCUGGGGAGUAUGGUCGCAAGGCUGAAACUCAAAGGA
rnacentral:rRNA from 1 species